rnacentral:rRNA from 1 species
GCAAGUCGAACGAGAAAGUAUCUUCGGAUACGAGUAGAGUGGCGCACGGGUGAGUAACACGUAGGUGAUCUACCGUUUGGAGGGGGAUAACACGAAGAAAUUCGUGCUAAUACCGCGUAAACACUGCAAUUUUGGAAGUAGCAGUGGAUAGGGUGCUUCGGCACUCACCGAACGAUGAGCCUGCGUAGCAUUAGCUUGAUGGUGGGGUAAUGGCCUACCAUGGCUACGAUGCUUAGCUGGUCUGAGAGGAUGAUC